rnacentral:misc_RNA from 1 species
AACAAUCAAAAACCUAUAUAGAUUCACAGCCAGCUUAUGAAGAUUAAACCACCAAAACUCUAUAGAUUCAAAAUCUAACCAGAUCUCCUCCUUAGAAGCACAGAUCAAAAGAACCUCUCCAUUAAACUUAGAGUGAUACAGUUUGUCAAUGAAGUGAACGUAAAGAUCCGAGUGAGAGAGAUCUAUGUAUAUAUCAAGCUUUGAGAUCUGAGGGAGAAGGAGAUUGAAAGUUAACUUGAUUGAUGAGGUUAGCUAUGAUAUUUUGGCCUGUGAUACAGUCUCUGUGAUUUUUUUUUUUUUUUU